GUCAUAGCGCCGUUGCUAUGAAUACAAACAAACGUCUCUCUCUCUCUCUGCUUCUCUCUUGCUUUCCCUCUCUGUCGCUCUCCCACUUCUCCCUCCCUCCCUCGCGCUGAUGUUUAGUGCUGCUAGUCGCCCGGCAACGACGAGGGCGUGUCCACCGGCAAUCAUUUAAGCAGGAAUACCCGUCUGGGUUUGUAAACUCAGUCUCGCUCUCACUCCGCUGCUCCCUGCAUGGCAAACGCGCGCCAGGAAACCCCCUGAUCCGAGCUCGGGUGUUGUAUCUGUCUGUCUCGCGGCUCCCCCCUCGACCUCGCGCGCCCAUCAGCGCGAGCAACAUGCCGCCACGGACUAGUAAAUAACAACAAACAAGACGCAACCGGGCGGACGCUGACGUCGGAUGCCGGGUGAAUGCAAAUAACGCUUUGCUUAACUGCAGGAGGAACAGAGCCCACCUGGAAGACGCGCAGAGCACCGCCGCAGACUGAUUUCCAUUGAUGAGGCAGCCACCCAAUGACUUGGAGAUGGCUCUGAGUGGGACGCUGCUGCCAUCCAUAUCCACUUUCGCCAACAGCACGACUGUCAAGAGUAAAGCCGCAAGACCCUCUAAUUUACGAUGGAAGGAGGAGUUGUCCCACCUUAAGAGAGCUCCGACAGGAAGCAGUUCCUCCGGCCUGGACCACACCUCGGCCGCCGCCGCUCACUGUAGCAUGGCCAAGAAAGACUCAGAACCAGACCUGGACUUACUGGACUACGACUUCAUCCUGUCCAACUCCCUGCUCAUACAGCAGCAGCAGCAGCAGCAGCAGCAACAGCAGCAGGAGGCGGCGAUGGCGUGCGGCCUGGCCCAGACCUCGCCCCUGUCCCCGUCCCCCGCCUCCUACUCCUCCUCCUACCCUCUCCCCUCUCCCCAAGGCCCCGCCGGUGAGCUCCUCUACACCCUGCCGGACCUCAGCGACGUGUCCCCGUCCGGGGGCUUCGUGGCGGAGCUCAUGAGGCCCGAGCUGGACCCCGCCUACCUCCACCACCCCGCCCCCGGCGCCAACGCCUCCGCCGCCGGCGGCGCCAGCGUCCACGGCAAGUUUGUGGUGAAGACCACCAUGGACAUGGGCGACUACUGCCAGGGCGUGAACGUGAACGUGAGCAAAGCCCGCGUGAGCGUCGCGUCGGAGCCCUUAUCCUCCUCCGCCACCUCCUCGCCGUCGCCUUCGUCGUCUUCGUCGGCUUCGGCGCUGCCGUUCCCGUGCCACCGGAUAAAGCAGGAGAACCUCGGCGACUGCACCAUCGCCCAGCCCCUGGACCUCCAGAUGACCCGGGUGGGCUCCCAGGGCAGGGGGGACCCCACGCGCUGCUUCCCCCACGGGGGCGGGCGCCUGGCGGGCACGGCCGGCAGCAGACUGUCCUCCACCUCCCCGGACCACCAGGUCCUGGGUCAUCACCACCACCAGCACCAGCAGCACCAGCACCACCACACCCCACUGGCCCAGCACGCACAGGGCUUCCACCACAGCUCCCCUCCCCAGGGCUACCCUUCCCCCUUCCCACAGCUGUCCAUGCACUACCAAGAGCCCCACCUGAUCUCCACGGGGGAACGGGUACAAGAGGAGACCAAGCCAAAGCGUGGACGGCGCUCCUGGCCAAGGAAGCGGAUCGCCACGCACACCUGUGACUACGUGGGCUGUGGCAAGACCUACACCAAGAGCUCCCAUCUGAAGGCACACCACCGCACACACACAGGGGAGAAGCCUUACCAUUGUGACUGGGAGGGAUGUGGCUGGAAGUUCGCCCGCUCGGACGAGCUCACACGUCACUACCGGAAGCACACGGGCCACAGACCCUUCCAGUGUCAGAAGUGCGACCGCGCCUUCUCUCGGUCGGACCACCUGGCCCUGCACAUGAAGAGACACCUUUGAGGGGGGCGAUCUGGAAGGGGAUGGACCCGGAGGAUGAUGAUAAUGGGGUGAUGGGGGGAGGGGGGGGUGCAGGUGGUGAUGGUGAUGGUGGUGGAGGAAGGCAAACGCCAAAAAGAACUAAACAAAAUCCAAAAAUAUAACCCCUCCCCCCUUCCCACACUGAAAAAAUGCCAAAGUUCAUAUUUUGAAAACCAUUCUUUGCCUUCAAGCAAUGCUGGGAAUCAUCACAAGACACACUGUUUGUUGAUAGCUGCUUAUUAAAAAGAAAAUAAUAGCAGGAAUCAUUCUCCGGGAAAGGACUAGGCCUGUCCUUGUGCCGCUGGGACAGGUGAUUCCAACAUGUCCGCUCUCUCGAUCAGGGCCGGCUCAACUCAACUCUCAAGGGACCAAAACUGGAAUUUGUCUCACUUAAAGCAGAACAACCACAAACUUGGAUAACCGAGUGCCAAGAAGCACUUGUGACCUGGAGAAAGGAUAUCGUUGUCGGGCAGACACAGCUAUCCAAAAGCCAUAGCGAGACCACAAACCCCUGCCAGCCGUCUCUCAGCAGGUUUUGGGCUCGAAAAGAACGGAUUUACGGGAAUGGUACCAGGGACCAAGAAAGACAACAAACAGAGCAACAGCAUGAGAAUGAGAAAGACCUAAAGAGAAUAGGACAGUGCCAUAUGUCUGAGUGUCCUUUUGGAGCUCUACAGUCAGACUAUCUUAUCAGGUGAAAACCCUCCUUCAAUGGUGACGGCAAUCUUCAAUGCACUGCAGCUGCACCGUGCAAUAAUUUAUAGGAGACACACCAAUCAUAUUUUUGUAUUAAAUGUGUAACUCUGAACAAAAUAUUUGUUUUGUUUAAAGCCAAAAUAUAAUAUAAUCCUUAUUUCUUUUUGUACAUUUGUAAAUAGAAAAAUGCUUUCUUAACGUUUUGUAUUUUAUGUAUUUUACAUUAUAAUAAAAACGUAUUUGACCGGACUACUUUAUUUUCCAAUCUGUUAAACUUUUAUUCCAAAAGGAGGACUCGGGUUCUGGGUAGAUGUUUACUGGUUUAAUUCACACAAUUUGUUUCUCCUGCUGAGAACAUUAUAGGUUAAACUCUUUUCAUCCCAAAACUAUAGGGUCGGACUCGGGGAGUGGAUGAGCGCCUUUUAAAUGACAACAAAAGGCGAUGGAUGCGACACACAAUAUCUACCCUGGAUAAUAAAGAGUUUGCGCCUCAGGCAAUCUCGCACAAUGUUCCCAGCUAAAAGGAUGGUCAAAAAAUACCUCUACAAUGUCCACUUUCCAUUGUGCUCCCUUUCACCUGCCGGCUGGAAGAAUGGGCAGGGAAACCAAGCUACUGGAUGACAUUCAGCUGUGACACCGUAUCUUUCUCAGAGUCAGCAUUGUAUCUUGUGCGAUCAGCUACACACAUUGAACAGCUGAAGAAUAUAAUCCUAAACGUUCUACGUUUUUUUUUUAUAUGAGGUUUUGAUCAACCCAAAAAUGGUGUGGAGGGUUUUUCUACUAACAUGUUACUUGACGGGCUGCUUAAUUACAUCUGAUAAGAUGCAAGGUAAAGAAGUAGUUAACAAUUUCGUUCCCUGUCUACACAUCCCUCCUCGUAACAAAUAGGCCUACGAAGUGUAAUAGGCCAACAUUAGGUCAAAAUUUCAUGUUACAAUGUGAAGUGCUCUAGUGGUGUUGUCUUUUAAAAGAUGGUAUUCCAAAAACUCAAAUGCUGUUUGUGAAAUAUGCUACUGUAUUUUUUUUAUAUUACAACUAUGUGUUUAUGUACUGAUAAGUGUGACGUUGUGGUAGGCCAACUAUCUUGAGUUUUGGUGUAUACUGCCCCCUGAA